GAGAGGAGCAACUACAACAACAAGAACAACAACAAUGGCUACAAACUUGGUAGUGCUAGAUAUGAGACAGGUAAUCAAAACAACAAUGGCUACACCAACAAGUACUACAAUAAUGGCUACAAACUAGCUGGUGAAAGCUAUGAAGCAGGCAAUCAAAAUACUGAGAAUGGCUACGACAACAAUGGCAACACAAACAACUACAACAACAAUGGCUACACCAACAAGUACUACAAUAAUGGCUACAAACUAGCUGGUGAAAGCUAUGAAGCAGGCAGUCAGAAAAGUGAGAAUGGCUACAGCAACAACUACAACAACAACGGCUACACCAACAAGUACUACAAUAAUGGCUACAAGCUACCUGGUGAAAGCUAUGUAGUGGGCAACCAGAAUAGUGAGAAUGGCUACACCAACACCUACAACAACAAUGGCAACACAAACAACUACAACAACGAAGGCUACACCAACAAGUACUACAAUAAUGGCUACAAA
rnacentral:lncRNA from 1 species